GAGAACCUCCCUGACCCCACUCUGUUCCUGGGGAUUCACCUUUCCCACCAGUGCACCGCCAGACAACACCACCUUUCUUGCCUGCGCCCAGACAGACUGCUCCUGCCAUCAGCCCCUUGGCAUGUCACCACGGAGAGGGGCAGGAUUGGAGUCUCCAGUGCCAGGUGUGCAUCCUGGUCCCUGCACAUUCUCGUGGACUGGUCUGGUCCAAGUUCCUCGCCCUGUUGAGUGUAGGUGCCCUUCUGCUCACUGUAACUGAGGUGAAUUCUGAGUGGUCAGGGUUGUGUGGGUAGGAGAGAAGGGGAAAUCACCAGCGCCUGGCACACGGUGGGUACUUACCAAGGGUCCUUUUGGAGUCAGGGAACAGAGAAGAUCGUGAUUGGUGUUGCCUGGGUCCCCCAGUGGAGCAGCAAGGCCCUGUGCUGUGCAGGUACCUGGGGUGAUGCGUCCUGGGUAGGUAGGGGGGUGGAUGGGGGUGAGUAUCCUUGGGGCCGCUGAAGUACACGUCUGCCCCUCGAGGUUUGGCUGGACUAAAUCACUCUUCUUCGAAAAGACUUCCCCAGAGCCUCAAAGGCCAGGCCUGUGUCCCACCUCUGCCCUCCCCUGGGUCCCUGAGGAAGUGCCUGCUGCCUGGGCCGCAGGGGGCAGUUGUCAUGGGGACGCCAGGCCUGCCAAGCUGCCUCCUUAGCAACGGGACUCCGGGGCCGGUUACCAUGGAAACAACAUCCACUUGGCAAUCCGUGAUGGGGACCGGGUUCCCUGCCCUUUGCUGAGGGCUUUCCCCUCCUCCUGCAGGCGGCCACGUGGCAGUCCCCGAGCCCAGCAGGGAGCCCCGGGGACUUCACUUUUCCAGCCAUGGAUGGCUGCCUGUCCCCUACAGCAGGGUCGCAGAGCUGAUAGGCACCAUCUGUGGCCUGGGGAGAGUGGGGGCACCUGUCUGAGGGCUUCACAGAGAGUCUGGGGGCCAAGCCCAGGGCCCCCACCCCUCAGCAGGGAGUGGGUGCCACACCUCUUAACAGUGAAGCCACCAAUCCUGAGUGCCCUCAGGUUCCCCAACCCACACGGCAGCGCAGCGGCUGUUCCCUGUCCUUGGCCAUUCUGAAAGGCAAUCCUCUGUCCUGGCCAUGACACCUUACCCCCAGCCUGGUCACCUUUUGCCCCCCAGCCUCCCUCCAGUUGCUGAGGGCUCAGGCUAAAAUGGCAUUUCACUCUUCAGUAUCCAACUGGAGUCCACAUGCACACUGACUAUCCUCCUGCCCCGAUGGGGAGCACCAAGGAGCCCUAACAGCUGGGGUGGGAAGGGUCUGAGCCAGGGUCUCCUCCACCAGCCGACAAAGGACACUCACACACUCUCACACUCCUCCUUAAUGACUCACCAGCCCGUAAACAGUGCACACCAGCCCCCACAGCCAGACCUCUCACACUCCCUUGCACAUGUGACCCCUGCUCUGGGGCACAGAUUUGUACACACAAGUGCCCCCGUGUGCUCUAGGGGCCAUGUCCCACCGCCCACCACAGGCUGGCUCCUGAGCCUCCAGUAUAUCCCACUGACCUUACUCUCCAAUCCCAAUCCCUGACACCUGGAAAAAGACAGCAUCUGCUGGAAUUUUUUUAUUUAAAUAAAAUAUACAACACGGUG